GGGUUGUUAGCUCAGUUGGUUCAGAGCAUCGUCUUGACAGGGCGGGGGUCACCGGUUCGAAUCCGGUACAACCCA
rnacentral:tRNA from 2 species